rnacentral:rRNA from 1 species
AGUGAACGCUGGCGGUAGGCCUAGCACAUGCAAGUCGAACGGCAGCACAGUAAGAGCUUGCUCUUACGGGUGGCGAGUGGCGGACUGGUGAGGAAUACAUCGGAAUCUACUUUUUCGUGGGGGAUAACGUAGGGAAACUUACGCUAAUACCGCAUACGACCUACGGGUGAAAGCAGGGGAUCUUCGGACCUUGCGCGAUUGAAUGAGCCGAUGUCGGAUUAGCUAGUUGGCGGGGUAAAGGCCCACCAAGGCGACGAUCCGUAGCUGGUCUGAGAGGAUGAUCAGCCACACUGGAACUGAGACACGGUCCAGACUCCUACGGGAGGCAGCAGUGGGGAAUAUUGGACAAUGGGCGCAAGCCUGAUCCAGCCAUACCGCGUGGGUGAAGAAGGCCUUCGGGUUGUAAAGCCCUUUUGUUGGGAAAGAAAAGCAGCAGGUUAAUACCCCGCUGUUCUGACGGUACCCAAAGAAUAAGCACCGGCUAACUUCGUG